UAAAAAUAACUAUAAAAAAAAAGUCAUAAUCUAAGAACAAUUAUAAAUAUUUUCUAACUACAAGACAAAAUCAACAAGGAGCUAAAAAGCGAGAGAAAGCUUGAAGACGCCGCAAAAGAAACGUCAAACAGUUUCUUUCAGGGGAAUAUAACCUGCGAACGCCCUUGCCAGGAAUGCAAUCUCCGAUCUUUCCAAGCUCGUUUCAGUAGAGCCAUUUCAGCCAUGUUUGUAUGCAGAUGCGUAUGCGCACGCAUACACCAGUCAUACCAACAGUAAAACGAUAUCAUGCAAAGAAUAAAGAAAAUGGAAUCUUCGAAAAUUUUCAUUUAGAAAUAAUUGGAUGUACGAAUAAAUUAUAUUAUGAAAAAAAAAAGAAUGUCACAUCAUUUAAAAAACAAGUGUUUUGUGACAUUUUAAAUACUUAAAUUCUUUGUUUAAAGAAAAUAACAUUGAUUGUGAAUACAGAGAUAUUCAAAAUUCAGUUUAAUAUUUUAUUAAGAUAGAUUAGAAAAAUAAAAAAAUAUUUUAAUAUGAAUAUAAUAGAUCAAUAUUGUAAUCAAUAUACUGUGAAUAUCAAAGAGAAAAAGAAAGAGAAAGAACAAGACUUGUUUCAGAUGUGAUUGAUCUUUCUGUACAAAAAAUCUUUCAACAUUUUGAUCCGUUAUAAGGAAAAAUGCGUAUCGAUUAUUUUUUUCUCUUCUGAAUCAAUCAAGUGUAGUCAUUCAUGAAAUCAUUCAACCAGGAAAUUCAAGGAAGACUUUCUAACGAUCCGUGGAUUCUCCUUGGUCAACAUAAUUGAUUGUCAACGACGACGACGAAGAACUAGAAAAGGAUCAAAAUGUUUGAACAAGUGGGCCAAUUGAUAUGGCUCAAAGAAUAAUUAUCGGAGAUGACUUUCAAGAGUAUUAGUCACCGUUUUUAAAAUGGUUAUAUCUCAAAACUUUUCCACGGAUAAUUCCACUUCCAAUCGUAAUAAAAAAUAGCUCAGAAAACGAAUAAAAAUUUAUCAAAUAAUUGAAAGAAA